GGUAGAUACGGGCCGGCAGACAGGUAGAUGCUGAGGGGGAGGGCGUUGGCCGGAUUUGUUGGGCGUGAAGGUGGUGUAGGCGGCCAAGUAGGGCUGGUGUGAAAACGCGAGGCGUAACCUCGAUAUGUCAUCGGAAACCAUUUGGCUAGAGUCCGGAAGAGGAGAGUGGAAUUCCUGGGGUAGCGGUGAAAUGCGCAGAUAUCAGGAAGAACACCAAUGGCGAAAGCAGCUCUCUGGGACGGUACUGACGCUGAGACGCGAAAGCGUGGGGAGCGAACAGGAUUAGAUACCCUGGUAGUU
rnacentral:rRNA from 1 species